GACGAACGCUGGCGGCGUGCUUAACACAUGCAAGUCGAACGGAAAGGCCCUGCUUUUGUGGGGUGCUCGAGUGGCGAACGGGUGAGUAACACGUGAGUAACCUGCCCUUGACUUUGGGAUAACUUCAGGAAACUGGGGCUAAUACCGGAUAGGAGCUCCUGCUGCAUGGUGGGGGUUGGAAAGUUUCGGCGGUUGGGGAUGGACUCGCGGCUUAUCAGCUUGUUGGUGGGGUAGUGGCUUACCAAGGAUUUGACGGGUAGCCGGCCUGAGAGGGUGACCGGCCACAUUGGGACUGCGAUACGGCCCAGACUCCUACGGGAGGCAGCAGUGGGGAAUAUUGCACAAUGGGCGGAAGCCUGAUGCAGCAACGCCGCGUGCGGGAUGACGGCCUUCGGGUUGUAAACCGCUUUCGCCUGUGACGAAGCGUGAGUGACGGUAAUGGGUAAAGAAGCACCGGCUAACUACGUG
rnacentral:rRNA from 1 species